UCGGGGCGAUCUAGGCGGCGAACCUCGCCAACGAACGAUCGGACAUGGGAUAACGGAAGAGGGCGUCGGCUCGACUUCGUCGGUUCCUCGGGCCGAGGCACGUACGGUGAAUAGGGACGGUCGGGGCCGCCCGUACCGGGUCGUGAGAGGUGAAAUUCUAGGAUCGACCGAGACGAACCGCCGCGAAAGCAUUCGGCAAGGACGCUUUCAUUAAUCAAGAACGAAAUCGGGGGAUCGAAGACGAUCAGAUACCGUCGUAGUCCCGACCGUAAACGAUGCCGACCGAGGGCCCGGAGGAGUUACGUACGACCCUCCGGGCCCUCCCGCGAGAAAUCAGGAGUAUUCGGGUUCCGGGGGGAGUAUGGUCGCAAGGCCGAAACUUAAAGGAAUUGACGGAAGGGCACCACCAGGAGUGGAAUCUGCGGCUUAAUUUGAC
rnacentral:rRNA from 1 species